UGUCAGAUCAUUCAUCCCUACUGAUCCUCCUACAGAUACAUACAUUGUCAGGUCAUUCAUCCCUACUGAUCACCCUACAGAUACAUACAUUGUCAGGUCAUUCAUCCCUACUGAUCACCCUACAGAUACAUACAUUGUCAGGUCAUUCAUCCCUACUGAU